CUAUUCUAAAAUCAAAAGCUUAACCAAAACUGGAAUGAUACAGAGAAGAUUAGCAUGGCUCCUAUGCAAAGAUGACACACAAAUUUGUGAAGCAUUUCAUAUUUUU
ensembl:snRNA U6 U6 spliceosomal RNA